CCCCUUUUCCCUCCUCUCUCUCACCCAAAUUCCUUCUCCCCAUCUCUUCCUCAUUCCCCCCCCCCUUCUUUUCCUCUCUCCGUCUCACUUUUUCCUUCUUUCUCCAACUUCUCCCUCUCUUCCAUCGUUCCCCAUUUCUCUUCCUCCUCCUCUCUCCCCUCUCUCUGUCUCUCUCUCUGUGUGUAUAAAUCAUUACUUCUUGCUUUUCUGGCUCCUCUAAUGACACACUUGGCAUCCAGCUCUGGAUCAAAAUAAGCCUGUUCGGUUGACAGUACUGUCAUUACAGUAGAGAAUGACUUUCUGGACGCAGCCGUGUUGGUCAUUUCCAUCAGACAGACAUCAUAAUUAAAGAAGAAAUUCUGGACAGGAAACAAGAUGGAAUUGUCAGUUGUGAAGCUACGUUAAUUAAUCAAGAAGGUUUAUAUUUGGGCUGGCGUAAUCCUUUAUGAAUCAGAAGGUCAGGAAGUGUAAAUAUGAAUGAGGUGAGAGAGAGUAAACAAGUCCAACAUUUUCCAAACAUGCUUAAUAUCUAUCCAUCCAUCUAUUUUGUAUAUCGCUCAACCUACACAGGGUCGCAGGGAGCCUGGUGCCUAUCCCAGGGGACGGGGUGUCAACCCAUUGCAGGACACACACACUAAUUUGAAAUGCCAAUCAGCCUACAAUGCAUGUCUUUGGACUGGGGGAGGAAACCAGAGUACCCAGACUUAACCCCCAAAGCACGGGGAGAACACAGGGAGAACUCCGCACACACAGGAUGGAGGCAGGAAUCAAACUCCAAACCCCAGAGGAUUGAGCUGAUUCCCCAUCAUUUUUGUGCCUUCAGGGUGUAUCAGCUGCCUGGGAAAGUGAAAAUACUAUGGUUAGGCUGUGAUCCGAGACCAACUUUUCUUAAUACCUCAACUGGCUUGAUCUUUACUCGAUCGAAUGGCAGCUUCCACAUACACCCUUAUCUCUGCUGGAGUUUUUAGAUGAAACAGCAAGGGACAGACAGAAAUACCCUUUUGAUCCAUAUGCCAAAGCCUAACCCCUGAUAACACGUGCUGUAUUAUUCAUUAGACAUAAACAUGAUAAGACUCAGGUGCUCAAACCCCAGUGAUGGCGUUAACAAAGAGAGACAGAGCGAGACGGAAUGUACAAGUGAGAACUAAAGAGAUUCACCUUAUCUUGAUAUAACUAAGGCUUUGUUCACACAGAUAUGGGAUUUGUUUCAGGAACACACGUAUGUGUUGACAGAACAGAGCAAGACCGGUGAAACUUAGCUAGAUACAGGUAGCAACUCAGUUUUCACCAAGUUGAUAUAUUUUACAUAACAGCAAUGUUCAGUAUUAGGUGCAUACAACAAAUUCUGGCUGGCAUAUCCCAUGUUCAUUCCUGUUGUCACUCUAGGUACUAGAGUUAGAAAAGGUUCUUGCCAGACCUGCUAAUUUUAUACAUUUCUUAGGCAAAGGAGUAAUAAACACUGACCGUAAAAGAAACCCGAGUUCUGAUUUAAAUUGUUAAAUUGAGUUACAUGCCCAGAAAUCUGGUAAAGCCAAUUUGGCUUGAACCAAACUGAAAUAAAUGAGUCAGAUGUUCAGACUGUAGCAAGUCUUUCCUGCUCAAGUAGGAUAUGCCAAAAAAAAAUGUGAAUUCGGGCCCACCUGUCUGAACACGGCCAAGGGCUUACUGUGGUUAAUCUACGAGACAUGUAAUGGUGCUUUACAAACUAGGUAACAAAUUAGUUUAGGUCUUGAGGCUAUGAUGUAAAUCAUAUUCAACAGGUUAAAAAGGUCAAUACUAGUUCCAGAAUUCCACAUGGUUCUAUGGCGCCAUCUACAAAACGGAAGAUUGAAAGACAUCACGUUUGUCCCAAUUAAAUGUCGAGGAAUGGUCUUCGAUCCAUUGCCACAUAUUCUCCAAUCUCAGGCGUUAUAGGAGAAGACUCAGAGCUGGUAUCUUGGCAACGGGAGGUAGCUCAAAGUAUUGACUAAAAGGGUGCCAAUAAUUGUUGCACACCAAUAUUUAACAAAAGGUGUUUUUUUGUGUGUGUGUCGUUUGCAAUUGGUUUAUAUCCAUGAGAGCAGAGUGUUUUUGUGAAUUCUUUUAACAAAAAGAUCAAAAGGUUAAACAAUAAAGAAAUUUUUUCACAGCCUUCUUUGUUCAUAUUUACCAAGGGUGCCAAUAUUAGUGGAGGGCACUGUAUCGGUUGCUUCAACAGCUCAAUUUAUUUAGCCUUGGUGCUUGGGCCCAUCACAUCACUGCUUGAAGCUUCAUUACUAUAUCAUUUUUGACAAAUAACACAUAAUUAUAGGCGGCAACUAUGUAGCAGCCCAAUUUUGUUUUGUUCUUGAUCCAUGUGCCUCACCUCUGCCCCAUUUCCAGAACAUUUUAAUAACGGUUUCCAUAUACAAAGUUUAAAUUGCCCAAACUGUAUAGGAGUUCUUUGGGAACCACUUUCUCAGUAUGCAGGAGUGUUUUCGUUUGGCAUGAUUUCUAGACACAGACGUACUAUUUUGUUCCCCGUUCCGACAAUAUGGGAGAGUCCUGUGCUUAAAACAUCUUUAAAUUGCUGUUCAUUAUGUUAUCACAUCUGUUAAAUUUCAAAAUGGAAUGCUUUUGUGUUUCAUUUCUCUCAUGCGCUUUGUUCUGGGCCGCAGGACCCGGGCGCAUUUCUCACGGCUCAAUAAAUAGCGUUCGUCUGAAAGAUCAAAGCAUAGUUUAUCAUCGUGUCCGUUGUUUAAUCUUUAAUCUUGUUUUUUUUUUUAAUAGCACCCACGAUUUAAACUAAGCUUUAAAAACUU
ensembl:lncRNA